GACAGAGGGUGCAAACGUUGUUCGGAAUUACUGGGCGUAAAGCGCGUGUAGGCGGUCCGGUAAGUCCGCUGUGAAAGUCGGGGGCUCAACCCUCGAAUGCCGGUGGAUACUGUCGGGCUAGAGUACGGAAGAGGCGAGUGGAAUUCCUGGUGUAGCGGUGAAAUGCGCAGAUAUCAGGAGGAACACCAAUUGCGAAGGCAGCUCGCUGGGACGUUACUGACGCUGAGACGCGAAAGCGUGGGGAGCAAACAGG
rnacentral:rRNA from 1 species